CCCCCUUUCAUUUUUCAAUAAUAGUCCCUUUAAAUGUAUAAUUUUUGAGAUUAAACCCUUAAAAAUGGAUGAGUACUGGAAUUGUAGAAACUACACAGUGGAGAGUAAACUUGGUGAAUAUCCAGGAGUUUUCAUCAUUAUGGCAAUCUUCUUAAUCAUCGGUACCUUCUUCUUCUGGGUUCUUCGUUGCUUCUUCAACAGUAUUGAAGAUCACAGGAUGAACAUCAACAUCUUUCUCAACAAGCGGAUAACACAUCUUAUGAUAGUUCACAUCUACAUAAUGUGUCUGACAAUCAUGUGGAGCAGUAUCCUGGGACCAAUACCACUAAUCAUCUUCAAGAUUAUCAGAUACUCCAGCAUCAUUUGUGCUUUCAUCAUCGGCAAUCUGUUCCUCUUCAUCUCAACCUUCAGAUUCUUCUUAGUUUACCAGGUAUUACUGAAUUAGAAAUUGUAUAGUUGUGUUCAAGCCUUGCAGUAGCAGCCUACACACUAUAGUUUCAGUUUCAGAAGAAAACGACUGGAUAAUGGAGUUUGAUCAAGAGAAGAUGGAGAGGAAGUGUCUCUACUCUGCUAUUCUUCUUGGAGUUCUUAUAUACCCUGGGUUCCUGUGUGCAGAUAUUAAACGUGGCACUGUACAUGCAAUGGAAUCAUUUCAAAGCAGAUGUCCUGUAACUGAUGGAAAAGAUUUUGUUGUGCUUGUGAAUAUUUUCAUUGUCAGCGUAUACCUCGCAAUCUUCAUACUUUCAAACAUCAUUCUAAAAUUUCUUUUUAGAAACGAGAACCAAGACAAUGGCCAAGGCUUUCGCUUAAAAACCAUGACAAUUGGGAUUGUGGUUGUAGCAGGAGUGCUUGGUUUUCUUGGAAUAAUUCAAUUCCUACCAAACUCGGAUUUUGACCUAAAACCAGUCUAUGUACUGACAAGUGUACUUAUUUCAGGAUUAGGUUUGUGCAUAAUCAAAGAAAAUGAGUUCACUUUCCCCUUUCUUGUAAACCUGAUCCUUAAAUGUACGGAUCCCAAUGCUGUGGGUCCUAUUGUUCCAGCUAACCACAUGCAGGAGCUGAACCCUAGAGCACUGGAGAACAAUAAGGACUGUAGGAUUAUAGAUCUAGAGGAUGAUGGAGGAAUAUUUAUGGGAUGAACCUUGCAGGAGCUGAACCCUAGAGCACUGGAGAAUAAUCAGAACUGUAAGAUUAUAGAUCUAGAGGAUGAUGGAGGAAUAUUUAUGGGAUGAACCUUGCAGGAUCAGAAUCCUAGAGCACUGGAGAAUAAUCAGGACUGAAGGAUUAUAGAUUUAGAGGAAAAUGGAGGAAUAUUUAUGAAAUGAACCUUGCAGGAUCAGAAUCCUAGAGCACUGGAGAAUAAUCAGGACUGAAGGAUUAUAGAUUUAGAGGAAAAUGGAGGAAUAUUUAUGGGAUGAACCUUGCAGGAUCAAAAUCCUAGAGCACUGGAGAAUAAUCAGGACUGUGGGAUUAUAGAUC